rnacentral:rRNA from 1 species
AGAGUUUGAUCAUGGCUCAGAAUCAACGCUGGCGGCGUGCCUAACACAUGCAAGUCGAGCGAGAAAAGGGUAGCAAUAUCCUGAGUAAAGCGGCGCACGGGUGAGUAACACGUGGGUAAUCUGCCCUGGAGUGGGGAACAACACCGGGAAACCGGUGCUAAUACCGCAUACGAUCACGAUGUCUGCGGACGUUGUGAUGAAAGGAGCAAUUCGCUCCAGGAGGAGCCCGCGGCUGAUUAGCUAGUUGGUGAGGUAAUGGCUCACCAAGGCUACGAUCAGUAUCCGGUCUGAGAGGACGGUCGGACACACUGGAACUGAGACACGGUCCAGACUCCUACGGGAGGCAGCAGUGGGGAAUUUUUGGCAAUGGGGGCAACCCUGACCAAGCAACGCCGCGUGGGUGAUGAAGUCUCUUGGGACGUAAAACCCUUUCGACGGGGAAGAAACCGCAAGGUUGACGGUACCCGUAGAAGAAGCCCCGGCUAACUCCGUGCCAGCAGCCGCGGUAAUACGGGGGGGGCAAGCGUUGUUCGGAAUUACUGGGCGUAAAGGGUGCGUAGGCGGUGCUCUAAGUCGGAUGUGAAAACUCUGGGCUCAACCCAGAGCCUGCAUCCGAAACUGGAGUGCUAGAGUUCUGGAGGGGGUAGCGGAAUUCCUGGUGUAGCGGUGAAAUGCGUAGAUAUCAGGAGGAACACCGGUGGCGAAGGCGGCUACCUGGACAGAAACUGACGCUGAGGCACGAAAGCUAGGGGAGCAAACAGGAUUAGAUACCCUAGUAGUCC